ensembl:lncRNA
GGAUCAGGGCACCCAGACGCGCAGCAAUAGCAGCAGUGCUUCAGCCAAAGCCGAUGCAGAGCACUGUGAGUGAGGACUCCUGUUCUUUGAGCUCCUGGAUUGCUUUAUAUGGAUGAAACACCCUCUCUGGAAAGAGUUACGCUUCUGAGUUCCUCACACUCCAGUCCAGUAGGUGGCAGAAAUGCACAUCAUGUUGGUUUACCAACCACCGUAAAAUGGAAAAGCAGGUGUACUUCAACACAGGUCAGCAAGGUGAAUAUCCAGGAACAGGACUGAGCAUCCUUGCUGUUUUUACAGGAACAGCUCCCACAAAAAACCUGAAGAUAAGUGUUUUGAUCAGUGAUGGUUUAUGGAUGAAAUUUAACAGCUUUUAAGCUUACAAGCGCAGGUCAUUCAGGAUUAGGCCACAUCAUCCAGGAUAUUUCUUUGUUCAUUUGUGCCAGGCAUCACCUAAUGCUGACCUUUCAAAAGAGGAAGCCCAUUUAGUGAAAGCUCACACAAUGUCGGGAAAGUGAAAGUUUCGGUUGUGCAAAAAGAAGAAGUUUACUGGCCUCUUACUGGAAAAGACCCCCUAACUCCACCUAGACUUCAGUUCCACAUAUUUGGCAAACAAUAGAAAGCCUCAGCAAGCUGUGUUUACACCACCAGAAGGGAAAUAAGAGGCGAGGAACUCAGCAGAUCCUUCAAAAAAUCUUCUCUUCACAAAGAAAAUAACAGCACAUGUAUUUGGAAGAACAUGACGAUCCAUUGGCUGGGAUCUCUGUGGUGGAAUGCUGCUGGGACCCCCUUCUAACCUCCCCC